rnacentral:rRNA from 1 species
UACGGAGGGUGCAAGCAUUAAUCGGAUUUAUUGGGCGUAAAGGGCGCGUAGGCGGAUUUGUAAGUCAGAUGUGAAAUCCCGGGGCUCAACCUCGGAACAGCAUUUGAAACUGCAAACCUUGAGGGUAGGCGGAGAAGACGGAAUUCCACAAGUAGCGGUGAAAUGCGUAGAUAUGUGGAAGAACACCGGUGGCGAAGGCAGUUUUCUAGCUUACCCCUGACGCUGAGGCGCGAAAGCAAGGGGAGCAAACAGG